GGACCCGCACAAGUAGUGGAGCAUGUGGUUUAAUUCGAAGAUACGCGCAGAACCUUACCAACACUUGACAUGUUCGUCGCGACUUUGAGAGAUCAAAGUUUUCGGUUCGGCCGGACGAAACACAGGUGCUGCAUGGCUGUCGUCAGCUCGUGUCGUGAGAUGUUGGGUUAAGUCCCGCAACGAGCGCAACCCUCACUUUUAGUUGCCAUCAUUAAGUUGGGCACUCUGAAAGAACUGCCAGUGAUAAGCUGGAGGAAGGUGGGGAUGACGUCAAGUCCUCAUGGCCCUUACGUGUUGGGCUACACACGUGCUACAAUGGUAUCUACAACAGGAAGCAAAACGGCGACGUUAAGCAAAUCCUUAAAAGAUACCUCAGUUCGGAUUGCACUCUGCAACUCGAGUGCAUGAAGCUGGAAUUACUAGUAAUCG
rnacentral:rRNA from 1 species